ensembl:lncRNA
GACAACCUUAAGACUCAAAAGUUUGUGCAUCUCAUCAAGAGGAGGGGUAUACAGCAGGGCAAACAACCCCAUGCCUUCCUGACAUCCAGUUCCUGACUUUAGCAAGUGAUAAAGCCCCAUUACUUACCUCCGAUGCAUGCCUCUUCAUCUGCCAUGUCACUCAACAGCUAUCAGCUGGCUUGAACACCCAAAAAGAAAACUUCAAAGUACCAAGAUUUCCAGAUUGAGGAGUAUUCAUUCAAAAGGUUCUAUGGGAAUGUCUGAGAAUCAAUUCUGAAUGCUUGAUGGCAUGAAGUGAUUCUUGAUGGUUGAAUCUUAUGAAUAAUGGAUUGAUCCUCCCAAGGGGUUCAGGAAGAAACAUGAGGAAGCUGAUCUUUGGCUGAGAAGGGAACAUGGAAGUAAUUUGCUGGUGUCAUGUAGAAGAUUAGCCUCUGGAGAAAUUUGGAAACAAAGAAAAUCCUCUGGAUAUGGAGCUUUCAAUAUAAAGCCCUUGUGAUGCCCAUACAACUUGGCUGGGGGAAGCACAUCAAGGAUCCAAGAUUUACAAGUUGACCCUGAACAGUAGCUAACUGUGACUGAACAAACGAAAUGAAACCUUGAUGGGCUCUACUGAUUUGGAAUUUAGAACUGAAGUAUGUUACAUAACACUUCUUAUACAUAACUGAGCCCAAGUCAAUGGAAAGAGCCAACCAAACCAGCAGUGUCUCUGAGUUCAUCCUCCUGACACUCUCCUCUCGGCCUGAGGACCAAAAGCC